GAAAUGACUCUCGGCAACGGAUAUCUCGGCUCUCGCAUCGAUGAAGAACGUAGCGAAAUGCGAUACUUGGUGUGAAUUGCAGAAUCCCGUGAACCAUCGAGUCUUUGAACGCAAGUUGCGCCCCAAGCCUUUAGGCCGAGGGCACGCCUGCCUGGGUGUCACAC
rnacentral:rRNA from 2 species